rnacentral:rRNA from 1 species
AUUGAACGCUGGCGGCAUGCUUUACACAUGCAAGUCGAACGGUAACAGGGUGCUUGCACCGCUGACGAGUGGCGAACGGGUGAGUAAUGCAUCGGAACGUACCCAGUCGUGGGGGAUAACGUAGCGAAAGUUACGCUAAUACCGCAUACGUCCUGAGGGAGGAAGCGGGGGACCGUAAGGCCUCGCGCGAUUGGAGCGGCCGAUGUCGGAUUAGCUAGUUGGUAGGGUAAAGGCCUACCAAGGCGACGAUCCGUAGCGGGUCUGAGAGGAUGAUCCGCCACACUGGGACUGAGACACGGCCCAGACUCCUACGGGAGGCAGCAGUGGGGAAUUUUGGACAAUGGGCGAAAGCCUGAUCCAGCCAUGCCGCGUGAGUGAAGAAGGCCUUCGGGUUGUAAAGCUCUUUCAGAUGGAAAGAAAACGUACAGGUUAAUACCUUGUGCGGAUGACGGUACCAUCAGAAGAAGCACCGGCUAACUACGUGCCAGCAGCCGCCGUAACAC